UGUCAAUACAAGUUGGAUGGGUGUCACUC
rnacentral:piRNA from 1 species